UGUGCGAGGAGCGACCCCGACGCGGGCGUGGGCAGGUGUCCUGGGGCGCCUGUCCGGCUGUGGCUGCAGGUUCCUUUGGGGACAGAGAAGGGACACGACGCGCGUGGGCACAGCCGGGGGCAGUGAGACUCGGCGGGGGACGCGUGGAAAAGGCGGAGAGGCUGGAGUCAGCCCGGAUCUGGAGGCACCUUUCACUCACUGCGUGACUCACCCUUCCUCCUGGGGGAGGAGGCGAGGCAUUGUGAUCCUCAGGAAGGCCCCAGGGACUCGAGCUUGCUGGCGAUCUUCUGGCUGAUGGGGCGCAGGGCCUCCUGGAACUGGGGGUGCUCCUCCUGUGCAUGGGCCAGGAUGGUGCUCAGCAGGGCCAGCCGGCCCUCCAGGCGCUUGUGUUCCAGCAUCAUGGACUUCCGGGAGCGGAACAGGAACGAAUACUUCCCGUCCACCACGGCCUGCAGACCGAGUCUUGCUGAGUUGCUUGCUAAGUUGCCCAGGUUGGGCUUGAACUUAAUGAUCCUCCUGCCUCAGCCUCCCAGAGCGCUGGGAUCACAGGUGUGCGUCACCACGCCUGGCUGCAAGGAGACAGUUUUGAUGCCACUGUAUGUCAGGCCUGAUGCUGGAUGCGUUCCUGUCUCAGCUGGCCAGGCCUGUGUGUUGGAGUCACGGCUGACCCCUCUUCCGCUCACACACAGCCAGGCCGGCAGGAGAUCCAGCUGGGAUGGCUUCUGAAUUAUACACAUGCAGAGCGCUGGCCGCCUUCAUCUUUGUACAGCACCUUCCUGAAGAGCUGUGUGCCUCAAGCAGCCUCUAUGUGCACCCUGGACCCUCGACCGCACACCCUGGAGCCAGGCAUCCUGCGGAAUCCCAGGCCAUCUGUGGCCCACACCCCUCCGCUGUCUCCGCUCAUCCCGGCUGCAAAGGCCCAAAGUCCGGACUGUGCUCCUCCUGCAGCUGCCAGCCCUGCCUCCUUGUCCUGCUGUUCCCCUGGCCAGCAGCCUGGGGCCGCUCCUCCCUUGCUUCCUGCAGGCCCUCGCCCUCUCAGUUCAGCCUUCCCAGGCCACCACACUCAAAUUUCAUUCCCCAUUUCACCCGGAGUCCCCAGCACAGCUCUCUGCUUAUUUUUCUUCAAAGGAUUCACCCCCAUCUCACACAUCUUGCCUUCUCCUUAUUUACUCUGCGUGCCCUGCGCUCUCCUUCCCCCAGGAUGGAACUCUGCCUCGUCUGUCCUGCAGUCCUAGCAUCCAGAUUGGUACCUGGCCCAUGACUGAUAGUGCUUAAUAUCUGCUGAGUGAAGCAAUCACAAGGGCACAAAAACGUAAACACCAGCGUUGCUGUCAGAGACUCUGGCUUCUCCUGGUCAUGGUGCACCCUCCUGCCCAGGAGCCUCAGCUUGAGGGACCCCUGGGACUCUCAC